rnacentral:lncRNA from 1 species
CCCAAGGCCGAGAGCGGAGCCGGGAGUGGACGCAGGUGUUGGGUGGGAAGGCGGCAGGGGCGGAAGCAGCGCGGAGGACCUGGGAUUUAGGGACGUGCGGCCUGCCCAGCCCGGGAGGGGCCGGUGCAGCUGGCCUGUGAACUUCCUGCUGCCUGCGAGCUGUGGGCCGAGGGCCUGACCUCGUGGCCUCUCCCGUCCCUCCGCGGCAGACAUGCGGGGAAGGUGACAGCGUGACCAGUGGCAGAGCUCAGGCAGGGCCCGAGGCAGCCGCCCGCCGCUUCACCCCAGGACAUCUCCACGCAGCGUCCCAGCUGGCCGGGCGGCACCUCACUGUGGGCCAGAUCCACGCACUUGGCGUCCUGCGCCGGGCCAGCUCCUUCACCGAGCUGCUGGCUGCAGGCUGUGAGCUGGAGCCCCUCAGGGCUGUUUCUGGAGAGGAGAGGAGGCUUGUCCCCAGGAGCAGCGGUGUGAUUUACAUUCCCACCGGGCCCUUCAGCGAGGGCAGAGGGGCGGCGGGCAGGCAGCCUGGCUGAGGCUGGGCCCGGUGCCCCGGCAUGGAGCUGGCGGCCCGCGUCUGUAUGGAGCCGUGGACAGUGUGUUGUGCAAGGCGUGGCCUCAGGCUGAUUCCUUCCAGGAGAGGUGGCCUGUGGAUGGCACCCGCCACGGACGCUGCCGGAGGAACCUGUGUGCUCUGCGGCUCCUCCUACCGCCUGGCCAGGAGCAACAAUGAAAUCUUGAAGAGGAUAUUGGGCUCUCUUCAGUAAUUCAAGGCUCCUUAAUUAUCCUGCAUCUUUUCCUUUGUGUGUUCUUUGCAGUGGGAUCCAAAUUUGAAAAAGAAAAAGCCUUCCACAUUUAUGACUAUUGUACCAUUAUAUUUGCGCUAUCUUCAUAUUGAUGAGGCUGAUAAAAAUAGAAAAUUGUAAAAGGCUCUGGUAUCAAAGACAGAGGCCUCCUGUAUGAAAUUCUUUUGUCCUGUGGCCUUUUCUCCUCCACACACUCAUUACCUUCUCUCCCAAGGAUAGAGAAAUCUUGCUCCAUCUUUUUUCCAGAGUCUCUUUAUUUCUUCCGUUUCACCUCUUACAAUGGACAGCUAAGUCCCUGCCUUGACUCUCCUGUCACUAAAUUUGCAAUUAAAAUAGCAAGCCCAGCUGGAUGCUUGCUUCUUCCUUGGGCUAUGUGCUGGGAGUGACUUCCAUGAUGGCCACCACCCUUGAGCACACUGGGGCAUUGGCCAAAGGAUCCCCAAAUAGCUCAGAAGAAGUGGGCUUUUCUGGUAACCCACGGUGAGAAAUCACUUUAGGGAUUUUACUUACCAGAUCAUUAACCUGGCAAAGUAAGCUCUGCAAAGUCACAUCUGCUCAUCUGACAGAGCAGCCUGUGAAGCAGAUGGAGGUGAGAGGUGAGGGCUUCGCAGCCGGCGCAGGGUGUGUGAGAGGGAAGGAGCUCUCAGCUGUCCCUGUGGGUGUCAGGAGAGGCAGCGGGCAGGGAGGGCCCUGCCCGUU